rnacentral:rRNA from 1 species
AUUGAACGCUGGCGGCAUGCCUUACACAUGCAAGUCGAACGGUAACGGGCCUUCGGGUGCCGACGAGUGGCGAACGGGUGAGUAAUACAUCGGAACGUGCCCGAUCGUGGGGGAUAACGAGGCGAAAGCUUUGCUAAUACCGCAUACGAUCUACGGAUGAAAGCAGGGGACCGCAAGGCCUUGCGCGGACGGAGCGGCCGAUGGCAGAUUAGGUAGUUGGUGGGAUAAAAGCUUACCAAGCCGACGAUCUGUAGCUGGUCUGAGAGGAUGAUCAGCCACACUGGGACUGAGACACGGCCCAGACUCCUACGGGAGGCAGCAGUGGGGAAUUUUGGACAAUGGGCGCAAGCCUGAUCCAGCAAUGCCGCGUGCAGGAUGAAGGCCUUCGGGUUGUAAACUGCUUUUGUACGGAACGAAAAGCCUUCUUUUAAUACAGGAGGGUAAUGACGGUACCGUAAGAAUAAGCACCGGCUAACUACGUG